rnacentral:rRNA from 2 species
UUAAAUUGAAGAGUUUGAUCAUGGCUCAGAUUGAACGCUGGCGGCAGGCCUAACACAUGCAAGUCGAGCGGUAGCACAGA